CCUACGGGUGGCAGCAGUGAGGAAUAUUGGUCAAUGGCCGGGAGGCUGAACCAGCCAAGUCGCGUGAGGGAAGACGGCCUUCGGGUUGUAAAGAUCUUUAAUCGGGGACGAAUUUUGACGGUACCCGAAGAAUAAGCUCCGGCUAACUACGUGCCAGCAGCCGCGGUAAUACGUAGGGAGCAAGCGUUAUCCGGAUUUACUGGGUGUAAAGGGCGUGUAGGCGGGCAUGCAAGCCAGAAGUGAAAUCUGGGGGCUUAACCCCCAAACUGCUUUUGGAACUGCGUGUCUUGAGUGAUGGAGAGGCAGGCGGAAUUCCCAGUGUAGCGGUGAAAUGCGUAGAUAUUGGGAGGAACACCAGUGGCGAAGGCGGCCUGCUGGACAUUAACUGACGCUGAGGCGCGAAAGCGUGGGGAGCAAACAGGAUUAGAUACCCCAGUAGUC
rnacentral:rRNA from 1 species